GCGUUCUUCGGCGGCGGACGCUGGGAAGCGAGGACACCCAGCGCGCGGUCUGCUUCUGUUGGGUUUUUCGGCGGCGUCCGAGAGUGUUCGGUCUGCUUCUGUUGGGAAGCGAGAGGUUGAAGCUUUGGCCAUCGGGGUAAAACUAUUUCCGUGACAUUUGGGUUUUCUGGAAUGGCUCCCUUCGGGGACCAAAAAUUUAGCUCGUAGACAUUUCCGGACAGCUUCCUUUUUUUUCAGGGGCCACGUUUCUCUCUUGCUCUCAAUAACAAAAUGAUUCACGGAUGCUACGCAUGUUGUGAGGAGACUUAAUAAAAUAAUCAAUAACUAUUGGAUGGGCAGUAUAGUAGUUGGACCACCGCUCCAAAAGAAGUAAAGGAAUUGUGGUGGAAUGAGUUCAAGCGGAAGUUCAGGUGGGAUGAAGCGGAAGAGAAAGAAGUUAAAAGAAUUUUUAAGAAGAAAGCCGGUGAUCACAUGCGAAAUGUGAUGAAUAAAGCAAAGAGAAAGCAAGAAAAGCCGGAUUUUAUUACAGCUGACAAUUGGGCGGAAAUUAUGAGAACUUGGGACACUGAAAAGCAUAAGCAAAUCAGUGAAAUUAAUAAGAAGAAUCGAGCUUCUAGUUCUAGUGAAGGGUCUGCCACAUAUGCUGGGGCUCUAUCAACAUCGGGGAGCGUAGAAAAAGAAUGGCAGAUGAAUUGGGGACGGAACCAACAUUUAUGGCUACAUUUGAACGCACCUUUCAGAAAAAAGAUAAGACAUGGACUGGCAAUCGAGCAAAAGCUAUUAAGGACAAAUAUGAUGAACUUGUAAUGAGCACGGUUGCUGCUAGUGGUGAUGGUGAUGGUGAUGGUGUUGCUGCGUCCGAGCCAUCGGUUGACAGUAUGGCAUUAUGGAUGGAGGCAUCGGGUGGAAUGAGAAGAGGUCAAAUAUUUGGGAUGGGAUCCU